rnacentral:rRNA from 1 species
AAUAUUGGUCAACGGGCGCAAGCAUCAUCCAGCCAUGCCGGGUGCGGGAAGGAAGACGUCUGGGUGGUAAAAUAGUUUUUACAGGAAGAAACACCCCGUCGUGAGGGGGCGAAGAGGUACUGUAAGAAUUAGGUGCGGGCAACUCCGGUCAGCAGCCGGGGCCUACGUUGUUUGCAAGCGUUAUCCGGAAUCAUUGGGUAGAAAGGGUCUGUAGUUGGAUAAUUAAUCAGAGGGGUACGUCCAGGAAUCACCUGUAAAAUUGCCAAUGUAGAUUGUUGGAUUGAGUCAUUAGGAUUCCCAGAGAAGAGGUGAAAUUGGUAGAAAAUGCAUAGAUCAUCCAUGGAAAAGCAAUUGCAUAUGGUCGAUCACUAAUAAUGAGGCGCGAAAGCGGGGGGAACAAACAGGAUUGGAUACGAUGGUAGUCCAUGC